GAGGGUAUAACUCAAAGUGGUAGAGAGCACGCUUAGCAUACAUGAGGUCCUGGGUUCCAUCCCCAGUACCUCCU
rnacentral:tRNA from 1 species